rnacentral:miRNA from 1 species
UAUUAGGUUGGUGCAAAAGUAAUUGCAGUUUUUGCCAUCCCUUUUGGCAAAAAUCGCAAUUGCUUUUGCACCAACCUAAUAUUU